AUUCUUCGGAUGAUUUCCUAUUUGACUGAGCGGCGGACGGGUGAGUAACGCGUGGGUAACCUGCCUCAUACAGGGGGAUAACAGUUGGAAACGGCUGCUAAUACCGCAUAAGCGCACAGUACCGCAUGACACAGUGUGAAAACACUCCGGUGGAAGAUGGGCUCGCGUCUGAUUAGCUAGUUGGUGAGGUAAUGGCCCACCAAGGCGACGAUCGGUAGCCGGACUGAGAGGUUGAACGGCCACAUUGGGACUGAGACACGGCCCAGACUCC
rnacentral:rRNA from 1 species